GGGUUGUGAGGUUAAGCGACUAAGCGUACACGGUGGAUGCCCUGGCAGUCAGAGGCGAUGAAGGGCGUGCUAAUCUGCGAUAAGCGCCGGUAAGGUGAUAUGAACCGUUAUAACCGGCGAUACCCGAAUGGGGAAACCCAGUGUGACUCGUCACACUAUCAUUAACUGAAUCCAUAGGUUAAUGAGGCGAACCGGGGGAACUGAAACAUCUAAGUACCCCGAGGAAAAGAAAUCAACCGAGAUUCCCCCAGUAGCGGCGAGCGAACGGGGAGGAGCCCAGAGCCUGAAUCAGCAUGUGUGUUAGUGGAAGCGUCUGGAAAGGCGCGCGAUACAGGGUGACAGCCCCGUACACAAAAGCGCAUGUGCUGUGAGCUCGAUGAGUAGGGCGGGACACGUGGUAUCCUGUCUGAAUAUGGGGGGACCAUCCUCCAAGGCUAAAUACUCCUGACUGACCGAUAGUGAACCAGUACCGUGAGGGAAAGGCGAAAAGAACCCCGGCGAGGGGAGUGAAAAAGAACCUGAAACCGUGUACGUACAAGCAGUGGGAGCACAGGUUUACCUGUGUGACUGCGUACCUUUUGUAUAAUGGGUCAGCGACUUAUAUUCUGUAGCAAGGUUAACCGUAUAGGGGAGCCGUAGGGAAACCGAGUCUUAACCGGGCGUUAAGUUGCAGGGUAUAGACCCGAAACCCGGUGAUCUAGCCAUGGGCAGGUUGAAGGUUGGGUAACACUAACUGGAGGACCGAACCGACUAAUGUUGAAAAAUUAGCGGAUGACCUGUGGCUGGGGGUGAAAGGCCAAUCAAACCGGGAGAUAGCUGGUUCUCCCCGAAAGCUAUUUAGGUAGCGCCUCGUGAAUUCAUCUCCGGGGGUAGAGCACUGUUUCGGCUAGGGGGCCAUCCCGGCUUACCAACCCGAUGCAAACUGCGAAUACCGGAGAAUGUUAUCACGGGAGACACACGGCGGGUGCUAACGUCCGUCGUGAAGAGGGAAACAACCCAGACCGCCAGCUAAGGUCCCAAAGUCAUGGUUAAGUGGGAAACGAUGUGGGAAGGCCCAGACAGCCAGGAUGUUGGCUUAGAAGCAGCCAUCAUUUAAAGAAAGCGUAAUAGCUCACUGGUCGAGUCGGCCUGCGCGGAAGAUGUAACGGGGCUAAACCAU
rnacentral:rRNA from 1 species